CCUACGGGAGGCAGCAGUGAGGAAUAUUGGUCAAUGGGCUUACGCCUGAACCAGCCAAGUCGCGUGAGGGAAGACUGCCCUAUGGGUUGUAAACCUCUUUUGUCAGGGAGCAACGCCGGCUACGUGUAGCCGGACUAAGAGUACCUGAAGAAAAAGCAUCGGCUAACUCCGUGCCAGCAGCCGCGGUAAUACGGAGGAUGCGAGCGUUAUCCGGAUUUAUUGGGUUUAAAGGGUGCGUAGGCGGAAUGCCAAGUCAGCGGUAAAAUCGCGGGGCUCAACCUCGCUACGCCGAUGAAACUGGCGUGCUUGAGUGGGAGAGAAGUAUGCGGAAGGAGUGGUGUAGCGGUGAAAUGCAUAGAUAUCACGCAGAACUCCGAUUGCGAAGGCAGCAUACCGGCGCCAAACUGACGCUGAAGCACGAAAGCGUGGGUAUCGAACAGGAUUAGAUACCCCUGUAGUC
rnacentral:rRNA from 1 species